rnacentral:siRNA from 1 species
UCUUUGAAUGGCUUGUCUACCC